rnacentral:rRNA from 1 species
GGUUAAGCGACUAAGCGUACACGGUGGAUGCCCUGGCAGUCAGAGGCGAUGAAGGACGUGCUAAUCUGCGAUAAGCGUCGGUAAGGUGAUAUGAACCGUUAUAACCGGCGAUUUCCGAAUGGGGAAACCCAGUGUGUUUCGACACACUAUCAUUAACUGAAUCCAUAGGUUAAUGAGGCGAACCGGGGGAACUGAAACAUCUAAGUACCCCGAGGAAAAGAAAUCAACCGAGAUUCCCCCAGUAGCGGCGAGCGAACGGGGAGCAGCCCAGAGCCUGAAUCAGUGUGUGUGUUAGUGGAAGCGUCUGGAAAGGCGCGCGAUACAGGGUGACAGCCCCGUACACAAAAAUGCACAUGCUGUGAGCUCGAUGAGUAGGGCGGGACACGUGGUAUCCUGUCUGAAUAUGGGGGGACCAUCCUCCAAGGCUAAAUACUCCUGACUGACCGAUAGUGAACCAGUACCGUGAGGGAAAGGCGAAAAGAACCCCGGCGAGGGGAGUGAAAAAGAACCUGAAACCGUGUACGUACAAGCAGUGGGAGCACGCUUAGGCGUGUGACUGCGUACCUUUUGUAUAAUGGGUCAGCGACUUAUAUUCUGUAGCAAGGUUAACCGAAUAGGGGAGCCGAAGGGAAACCGAGUCUUAACUGGGCGUUAAGUUGCAGGGUAUAGACCCGAAACCCGGUGAUCUAGCCAUGGGCAGGUUGAAGGUUGGGUAACACUAACUGGAGGACCGAACCGACUAAUGUUGAAAAAUUAGCGGAUGACUUGUGGCUGGGGGUGAAAGGCCAAUCAAACCGGGAGAUAGCUGGUUCUCCCCGAAAGCUAUUUAGGUAGCGCCUCGUGAAUUCAUCUCCGGGGGUAGAGCACUGUUUCGGCAAGGGGGUCAUCCCGACUUACCAACCCGAUGCAAACUGCGAAUACCGGAGAAUGUUAUCACGGGAGACACACGGCGGGUGCUAACGUCCGUCGUGAAGAGGGAAACAACCCAGACCGCCAGCUAAGGUCCCAAAGUCAUGGUUAAGUGGGAAACGAUGUGGGAAGGCCCAGACAGCCAGGAUGUUGGCUUAGAAGCAGCCAUCAUUUAAAGAAAGCGUAAUAGCUCACUGGUCGAGUCGGCCUGCGCGGAAGAUGUAACGGGGCUAAACCAUGCACCGAAGCUGCGGCAGCGACGCUUAUGCGUUGUUGGGUAGGGGAGCGUUCUGUAAGCCUGUGAAGGUGUACUGUGAGGUAUGCUGGAGGUAUCAGAAGUGCGAAUGCUGACAUAAGUAACGAUAAAGCGGGUGAAAAGCCCGCUCGCCGGAAGACCAAGGGUUCCUGUCCAACGUUAAUCGGGGCAGGGUGAGUCGACCCCUAAGGCGAGGCCGAAAGGCGUAGUCGAUGGGAAACAGGUUAAUAUUCCUGUACUUGGUGUUACUGCGAAGGGGGGACGGAGAAGGCUAUGUUGGCCGGGCGACGGUUGUCCCGGUUUAAGCGUGUAGGCUGGUUUUCCAGGCAAAUCCGGAAAAUCAAGGCUGAGGCGUGAUGACGAGGCACUACGGUGCUGAAGCAACAAAUGCCCUGCUUCCAGGAAAAGCCUCUAAGCAUCAGGUAACAUCAAAUCGUACCCCAAACCGACACAGGUGGUCAGGUAGAGAAUACCAAGGCGCUUGAGAGAACUCGGGUGAAGGAACUAGGCAAAAUGGUGCCGUAACUUCGGGAGAAGGCACGCUGAUAUGUAGGUGAAGUCCCUCGCGGAUGGAGCUGAAAUCAGUCGAAGAUACCAGCUGGCUGCAACUGUUUAUUAAAAACACAGCACUGUGCAAACACGAAAGUGGACGUAUACGGUGUGACGCCUGCCCGGUGCCGGAAGGUUAAUUGAUGGGGUUAGCGCAAGCGAAGCUCUUGAUCGAAGCCCCGGUAAACGGCGGCCGUAACUAUAACGGUCCUAAGGUAGCGAAAUUCCUUGUCGGGUAAGUUCCGACCUGCACGAAUGGCGUAAUGAUGGCCAGGCUGUCUCCACCCGAGACUCAGUGAAAUUGAACUCGCUGUGAAGAUGCAGUGUACCCGCGGCAAGACGGAAAGACCCCGUGAACCUUUACUAUAGCUUGACACUGAACAUUGAGCCUUGAUGUGUAGGAUAGGUGGGAGGCUUUGAAGUGUGGACGCCAGUCUGCAUGGAGCCGACCUUGAAAUACCACCCUUUAAUGUUUGAUGUUCUAACGUGGACCCGUAAUCCGGGUUGCGGACAGUGUCUGGUGGGUAGUUUGACUGGGGCGGUCUCCUCCUAAAGAGUAACGGAGGAGCACGAAGGUUGGCUAAUCCUGGUCGGACAUCAGGAGGUUAGUGCAAUGGCAUAAGCCAGCUUGACUGCGAGCGUGACGGCGCGAGCAGGUGCGAAAGCAGGUCAUAGUGAUCCGGUGGUUCUGAAUGGAAGGGCCAUCGCUCAACGGAUAAAAGGUACUCCGGGGAUAACAGGCUGAUACCGCCCAAGAGUUCAUAUCGACGGCGGUGUUUGGCACCUCGAUGUCGGCUCAUCACAUCCUGGGGCUGAAGUAGGUCCCAAGGGUAUGGCUGUUCGCCAUUUAAAGUGGUACGCGAGCUGGGUUUAGAACGUCGUGAGACAGUUCGGUCCCUAUCUGCCGUGGGCGCUGGAGAACUGAGGGGGGCUGCUCCUAGUACGAGAGGACCGGAGUGGACGCAUCACUGGUGUUCGGGUUGUCAUGCCAAUGGCACUGCCCGGUAGCUAAAUGCGGAAGAGAUAAGUGCUGAAAGCAUCUAAGCACGAAACUUGCCCCGAGAUGAGUUCUCCCUGACUCCUUGAGAGUCCUGAAGGAACGUUGAAGACGACGACGUUGAUAGGCCGGGUGUGUAAGCGCAGCGAUGCGUUGAGCUAACCGGUACUAAUGAACCGUGAGGCUUAACCUU